rfam:Triticum aestivum genome assembly, contig: Triticum_aestivum_CS42_TGACv1_scaffold_377860_5AL
CAUAUACUCCCUCCGUCCCGAAUUACUUGUCGCAUGAAUGGAUGUCUCUAGAUGUAUUUUAGUUCAAGAUACAUCCAUUUUUAUCCAUUUCCACGAUAAGUAAUUCGGGACAGAGGAAGUAUAUU